GAAGUACAGACUGAAGUACUGACCGAAGUACUGACUGAAGUACAGACUGCAAAACUGGAUGUUUGGAAACAUGUUUCCAAAAUAUUCCAUAUUGCAGUCAAAAGAACAUUCUGGUUUAUUUUUAUCUCAUGUUUGUGGUGUUAAAGUAAUCUGAUUACUGUCGACUACUGUGUUACUCUCCUCUGUUCAGGGGGCUGUUCAACCCAGGGUUUCCUCUGAGAGAUGUUGGAAGACCACAGAGGCGCAGUAGAAGUCUUGAUGGUGAUCAACCAAUCAGACACCAGAGAAGGAGAGCUCAUUCACGCGGCACCAACAGCAGUGGCAGCGAAUCAGAGAAAACAUCCGUCAGCAGCACGAGGCAACGACGGAGAAAGAAUCGGCACAGUCCAGACGUGGUCACAUGGCAACACAUUCAGAAGCAGCUGGUGGAGUCCAGUGACUCUGUCACCAGA